UCAAACAAAUCAACCUUUCUCACUCUGUCCUUAUCCAAGUACUCCAAAAAUCUGGAGUAAGACAUCCUGGAGGAAGAAACCCCUUGGUCAUCAGCAUAUGCCUUCCCAUUUCCCAGUAAAGUGGGUGCAACAAGUCCCACAUUCCCAAGCAACUGCUUUAAAAAACCUCUUCUUCCUUCACGCUUUAGAAUUCCUCUUCCUUCCUCAUGCUUCUGGCCUAAAGAUGCUUUUAUGAGAACUGCUUUUGAUGUCUUACCUAAUAACUGAAAUCUUGAAGGAAAGAUAAGAUGCCUGCCAAAGACUUCUUUGCUCAACUUUUUUGGGGCAUCAUGGGUUGAUAAACCAUUAUUCCCUACAA
rnacentral:misc_RNA from 1 species